GACGAACGCUGGCGGCAUGCCUAAUACAUGCAAGUCGAGCGAACAGAUGAAGUGCUUGCACUUCUGACGUUAGCGGCGAACGGGUGAGUAACACGUAAGGAAUCUACCUAUAAGCGGGGGAUAACAUUCGGAAACGGGUGCUAAUACCGCAUAAUAUCUUCUUCCGCAUGGAAGAAGAUUGAAAGACGGCUCUGCUGUCACUUAUAGAUGACCUUGCGGUGCAUUAGUUAGUUGGUGGGGUAACGGCCUACCAAGACGAUGAUGCAUAGCCGACCUGAGAGGGCGAUGGGCCAAAUUGGGACUGAGACACGGCCCAAACUCGCACGGAAGGCAGAAGUAGGGAAUCUUCCGCGAUGGGCGAAAGCCUGACGGAGCAAUACGGAGUGAGUGAAGAAGGCCUUCGGGUCGUAAAACUCUGUUAUAAGAGAAGAACAAAUUGUAGAGUAACUGCUACAGUCUUGACGGUAUCUUAUCAGAAAGCCACGGCUAACUACGUGCCAGCAGCCGCCGUAA
rnacentral:rRNA from 1 species